rnacentral:rRNA from 1 species
AACGAACGCUGGCGGCGUGGAUAAGACAUGCAAGUCGAACGGGACAGACCGAGUAGCAAUAUUUGGAAUGUUUAGUGGCGAACGGGUGCGUAACACGUGGAUAACAUUCCGGAAAGCGGGGAAUAGCCCAGGGAAACUUGGAUUAAUACCGCAUGUGGCCGCAAGGCUAAAGACGGGGACCGCAAGGCCUGUCACUUUCCGAUUGGUCCGCGGCCUAUCAGCUAGUUGGCGGGGUAAUGGCCUACCAAGGCUACGAAGGGUAGCUGGUCUUAGAGGACGACCGACCACACGGGAACGAAGACACGGUCCAGACACCUCCGGGUGGCAGCAGUCGAGAAUCUUUCACAAUGGGGGCAACCCUGAUGGAGCGACGCCGCGUGGAGGAUAAGGUCUUCGGAUUGUAAACUCCUAUCAUGCGAGAACAAGGUACUCAGGCUAAUAACCUGAUUGUUUGAUGGUACCGCAAGAGGAAGAGACGGCUAACUCUGUGCCAGCAGCCGCCGUAAAAC